rnacentral:rRNA from 1 species
CGUCUUGGUUAUUGAUGUUGGAUGCUUGCAUUUAACUGAUUUAACAUUGAGACGAGUGGCGAACUGGUGAGUAACACGUGGGUAACCUGCCCUUGAAGUAGGGGAUAACACUUGGAAACAGGUGCUAAUACCGUAUAACAACCAAAACCACCUGGUUUUGGUUUAAAAGAUGGCUUCGGCUAUCACUUUAGGAUGGACCCGCGGCGUAUUAGCUUGUUGGUAAGGUAACGGCCUACCAAGGCAAUGAUACGUAGCCGACCUGAGAGGGUAAUCGGCCACAUUGGGACUGAGACACGGCCCAAACUCCUACGGGAGGCAGCAGUAGGGAAUCUUCCACAAUGGACGAAAGUCUGAUGGAGCAACGCCGCGUGAGUGAUGAAGGGUUUCGGCUCGUAAAACUCUGUUGUUGGAGAAGAACAGGUGUGAGAGUAACUGUUCACAUCUUGACGGUAUCCAACCAGAAAGCCACGGCUAACUACGUGCCAGCAGCCGCGGUAAUACGUAGGUGGCAAGCGUUGUCCGGAUUUAUUGGGCGUAAAGCGAGCGCAGGCGGUUUCUUAGGUCUGAUGUGAAAGCCUUCGGCUUAACCGGAGAAGUGCAUCGGAAACCAGGAGACUUGAGUGCAGAAGAGGACAGUGGAACUCCAUGUGUAGCGGUGAAAUGCGUAGAUAUAUGGAAGAACACCAGUGGCGAAGGCGGCUGUCUGGUCUGUAACUGACGCUGAGGCUCGAAAGCAUGGGUAGCGAACAGGAUUAGAUACCCUGGUAGUCCAUGCCGUAAACGAUGAGUGCUAAGUGUUGGAGGGUUUCCGCCCUUCAGUGCUGCAGCUAACGCAUUA